rnacentral:rRNA from 1 species
CCUACGGGAGGCAGCAGUGAGGAAUAUUGGUCAAUGGGCGCAAGCCUGAACCAGCCAAGUCGCGUGAAGGAUGACUGCCCUAUGGGUUGUAAACUUCUUUUAUAUGGGAAUAAAGUGCUGUAUGUAUACAUCUUUGCAUGUACCCUAUGAAUAAGGAUCGGCUAACUCCGUGCCAGCAGCCGCGGUAAUACGGAGGAUCCGAGCGUUAUCCGGAUUUAUUGGGUUUAAAGGGAGCGUAGGCGGGUCUUUAAGUCAGAGGUGAAAGUUUUCGGCUCAACCGUAAAAUUGCAGUUGAUACUGGAAUACUUGAGUGCAGUAGAGGUAGGCGGAAUGCGUGGUGUAGCGGUGAAAUGCUUAGAGAUCACGAAGAACUCCGAUUGCGAAGGCAGCUUUCU